rnacentral:rRNA from 1 species
AAAGGGUGAUAGCCCCGUAAUCGACAUCUCAUCAUCAGUGAAAACGAGUAGGGCGGGACACGUGAUAUCCUGUCUGAAUAUGGGGGGACCAUCCUCCAAGGCUAAAUACUACUGACUGACCGAUAGUGAACCAGUACCGUGAGGGAAAGGCGAAAAGAACCCCUGUGAGGGGAGUGAAAUAGAACCUGAAACCGUGUACGUACAAGCAGUAGGAGCACCUUCGUGGUGUGACUGCGUACCUUUUGUAUAAUGGGUCAGCGACUUAAUUUUAGUAGCAAGGUUAACCGUUUAGGGGAGCCGUAGGGAAACCGAGUCUUAACUGGGCGUACAGUUGCUAGGAUUAGACCCGAAACCAGGUGAUCUAGCCAUGGGCAGGUUGAAGGUUGAGUAACAUCAACUGGAGGACCGAACCGACUAAUGUUGAAAAAUUAGCGGAUGACUUGUGGCUAGGGGUGAAAGGCCAAUCAAACCUGGAGAUAGCUGGUUCUCCCCGAAAGCUAUUUAGGUAGCGCCUCGGACGAAUACUACUGGGGGUAGAGCACUGUUAAGGCUAGGGGGUCAUCCCGACUUACCAACCCUUUGCAAACUCCGAAUACCAGUAAGUACUAUCCGGGAGACACACGGCGGGUGCUAACGUCCGUCGUGGAGAGGGAAACAACCCAGACCGCCAGCUAAGGUCCCAAAGUAUAGCUAAGUGGGAAACGAUGUGGGAAGGCUCAGACAGCCAGGAUGUUGGCUUAGAAGCAGCCAUCAUUUAAAGAAAGCGUAAUAGCUCACUGGUCGAGUCGGCCUGCGCGGAAGAUGUAACGGGGCUAAGCUAUACACCGAAGCUGCGGCUACGUACCUUAGGGUAUGUGGGGUAGGGGAGCGUUCUGUAAGCCGUUGAAGGUGGUCUGUAAGGGCUGCUGGAGGUAUCAGAAGUGCGAAUGCUGACAUGAGUAACGAUAAAGGGAGUGAAAAACUCCCUCGCCGGAAGACCAAGGGUUCCUGUCCAACGUUAAUCGGGGCAGGGUAAGUCGACUCCUAAGGCGAGGCCGAAAGGCGUAGUCGAUGGGAAACAGGUUAAUAUUCCUGUACUUCUUACAAUUGCGAUGGGGGGACGGAGAAGGCUAGGUGGGCCUGGCGACGGUUGUCCAGGUUCAAGUACGUAGGCGGGUGGUUUAGGUAAAUCCGGACCGCUACUA